rnacentral:rRNA from 1 species
UACAGAGGGGGCAAGCGUUGUUCGGAAUUACUGGGCGUAAAGGGCGCGUAGGCGGCCUGUUAAGUCGAACGUGAAAUCCCUGGGCUCAACCCAGGAACUGCGUCCGAUACUGGCAGGCUUGAAUCCGGGAGAGGGAUGUGGAAUUCCAGGUGUAGCGCUGAAAUGCGUAGAUAUCUGGAGGAAUACCGGUGGCGAAGGCGGCAUCCUGGACCGGCAUUGACGCUGAGGAGCGAAAGCUAGGGGAGCAAACGGG